UACGUAGGGGGCAAGCGUUGUCCGGAUUUACUGGGCUUAAAGCGUGCGUAGGCGGCUCAGUAAGUUGGGUGUGAAAGCCCUCGGCUCAACCGAGGAAUUGCGCUCAAAACUACUGAGCUUGAGGGAGAUAGGGGAGAGCGGAACUGAUGGUGGAGCGGUGAAAUGCGUUGAUAUCAUCAGGAACACCGGUGGCGAAGGCGGCUCUCUGGAUCUCUUCUGACGCUGAGGCACGAAAGCUAGGGGAGCAAACGGG
rnacentral:rRNA from 1 species